UGCUAUUCCUGUUCAUAGGGUGCAUCAUGA
rnacentral:piRNA from 1 species